ACGAACGCUGGCGGCGUGCCUAAUACAUGCAAGUCGAACGGUCUUUCUAUGGAAGCUUGCUUCCACUGAGAAGAUAGUGGCGAACGGGUGAGUAACACGUGGGUAACCUGCCCAUAAGAGGGGGAUAACAUCCGGAAACGGGUGCUAAUACCGCAUAGUUUUCUUGAUCGCAUGAUUGAGAAAGGAAAGGCGGCCUUUGUGCUGUCGCUUAUGGAUGGACCCGCGGCGUAUUAGUUAGUUGGUGAGGUAACGGCUCACCAAGACGAUGAUACGUAGCCGACCUGAGAGGGUGAUCGGCCACAUUGGGACUGAGACACGGCCCAAACUCCUACGGGAGGCAGCAGUAGGGAAUCUUCCGCAAUGGACGAAAGUCUGACGGAGCAACGCCGCGUGAGUGAAGAAGGUUUUCGGAAUCGUAAAACUCUGUUGUCAGAGAAGAACAAGUUGGAGAGUAACUGCUCCAGCCUUGACGGUAUCUGACCAGAAAGCCACGGCUAACUACGUGCCAGCAGCUGC
rnacentral:rRNA from 1 species